UUUAAUUUUAAUUUAAUUUAAUGAAUUUGUCACAAUUACAACAAAGGACAAUUACAUAUUUACAGAAACAAUGACAGGAGAAGGUAACAGGAGAAUUUCCCAAUUGACAACCAACCCCAACAAGAACAAUACAAUAAAAAAGCAAAUAUCCAGUUUUUAGAAGUCGGACUGUAUCUGAAUCCAACUACGGCGGUGUGUACGUUUGCAGCCUGUCCGAAAAAUAUCCAUGCAGUUUUGAUUUAAAA